AUGACACUCUUCAACAAAUAACAAUGCACAUAAUUGAUGAUAUUUCAACAAAUUUAUUCAUAAUAAUAUAAUAUUGCCCUUAAUAGCAUUAGGUUAUAACUUAUAACACCAAUAAUAUAUUUUUCGAACGAUUUUUGCGGCUAAUAAAGCCCGCUAGCGCCCAAAUGAUGGGAAAGAGGAUUAGGCCCUUUCGGGAGGAGGCCACGGCGUCGAAUUAAAUGGAGUAGCAUUAUUUCUACUAGAAUCCGGCUUCCAUGGAUGGGGCGGCGGGAGCGAGGGCCCGGAAGGAACUCUUCUCGCCAGGUGGUAGCGGUCAUCGACUUCGACUUCGCCGGCGGGAAAUAGCAGGCGAGCCGAAGAUUCGGUGGCGGAGAGGAGUACCAAGGCGGCGACGGCGGCGAGGAGGAGGAUGGAUGAGCGCGCCAUGACUGUCAGGGCAAUGAAAGAACCAACCCCUGAAAGCUGUAUUUCGCGCGGGAAUUUCUUCUCCGAUGAUGCGGCAGUGGCAAGAGUUGGUGCUAGCCUUCAAUGAUGUGGCGACUGCCGCUCAGCCUUCUCGGGACGUUAGGCAUCAGCCUCCUCCAAAUCAACGGCCGCUACUUGAUAGCAUCAAAGCCAUACGUCCCCAAAAUCCAGGUCCCGUCCACCAUGAAUCUGCGCAUGCAUUUCUCAAAGUUCUCAUAUCAAAGGUAGCAUCUAAUUUCACCUUUUCAGUUUCGAGACGGCAGAAAUUUAUUGUUGUUGUUGUUUAUAUGUGCCACUUUUGCAUAAAUGCUUGUUAGAGAACAUUAUUUUUUUAUUGUUUUCAAAAGCUUUAUAGUACUAA